UUGAUUUUAUACCUGUCGUAGUCUCGCUUUGCCAGAACCUCUUCCAAAGCACGCUAAAGGAGGGUCUGGCUACUCCACACAGCAUUCGGGGAUGAGAGGAAAACCUGCGCUUGUUUAUUGGCAUUUGUUUAAACCAAUCACAAUCGUCCUGGGGCGGUGCUAAACUCUGCACGGAGCCGCUGC